UGCAUAAUGAACCCAAUUCGGGCAAAAGCCUUUUAUUAAAGAUGGUUCUCGAGCCCUCCCAUCAUACUGGUGGGACCCGAGGACAUCUUUUCACCUAAGGAACUUUUCGAGAAAUACCCACCUUCACAGGAUCCCCGAAAGAUCCCAUCAUCGGGGCUUAAACUCGAAAACAGAAAUAUUUAUAUGCAAUGAUAUGUAUGAUGCAAUACAUAUAUGCCAUGCUAAUGCAAUUAUCUAUGUUUUUUGUUAUUAUUAAUUAUUUUUAUUUUAUUAUAUAUUUUAUUAUCAUAUUUUCUAUUCUUAUUUCUUAUUAUUAUUUUUU
rnacentral:lncRNA from 1 species